rnacentral:antisense_RNA from 1 species
CUUGACCGAGCCGAGCCACAGUGGACGGUCUGCGGGGCGGCCCUGCCCGUACGUGUCGAGCAGCGCUUGCGCCUC